GUCGGCGUAGAGCAGCCCGGUAGCUCGCCUAGCCUCAUAAACUGGAGAGUCGCAGGUUUGGAUCCUGUCGCCGCA
rnacentral:tRNA from 1 species